UACGAAGGGGGCUAGCGUUGCUCGGAAUUACUGGGCGUAAAGCGCACGUAGGCGGCUUUCUAAGUCGGGGGUGAAAUCCUGGAGCUCAACUCCAGAACUGCCUUCGAUACUGGAAGCUCGAGUCCGGGAGAGGUGAGUGGAACUGCGAGUGUAGAGGUGAAAUUCGUAGAUAUUCGCAAGAACACCAGUGGCGAAAGGCGGCUCACUGGCCCGGUACUGACGCUGAGGUGCGAAAGCGUGGGGAGCAAACAGG
rnacentral:rRNA from 1 species